GGCCCCCGUAGCUCAGCUGGAUAGAGCGUCCCCCUCCUAAGGGGAAGGUCGCCCGUUCGAAUCGGGCCGGGGUCACCA
rnacentral:tRNA from 1 species